rnacentral:rRNA from 1 species
GUUUGAUCCUGGCUCAGGACGAACGCUGGCGGCGUGCCUAAUACAUGCAAGUCGAGCGGACCGAACGAGGGCUUGCUCUUGUUUGGUCAGCGGCGGACGGGUGAGUAACACGUGGGCAACCUGCCCGCAAGACCGGGAUAACUCCGGGAAACCGGAGCUAAUACCGGAUAACACCGAAGACCGCAUGGUCUUCGGUUGAAAGGCGGCCUUUGGGCUGUCACUUGCGGAUGGGCCCGCGGCGCAUUAGCUAGUUGGUGAGGUAACGGCUCACCAAGGCGACGAUGCGUAGCCGGCCUGAGAGGGUGACCGGCCACACUGGGACUGAGACACGGCCCAGACUCCUACGGGAGGCAGCAGUAGGGAAUCUUCCGCAAUGGGCGAAAGCCUGACGGAGCGACGCCGCGUGAGCGAAGAAGGCCUUCGGGUCGUAAAGCUCUGUUGUGAGGGACGAAGGAGCGCCGUUCGAAGAGGGCGGCGCGGUGACGGUACCUCACGAGAAAGCCCCGGCUAACUACGUGCCAGCAGCCGCGGUAAUACGUAGGGGGCGAGCGUUGUCCGGAAUUAUUGGGCGUAAAGCGCGCGCAGGCGGUCUCUUAAGUCUGAUGUGAAAGCCCACGGCUCAACCGUGGAGGGUCAUUGGAAACUGGGGGACUUGAGGGC